UGAUCCUGGCUCAGAUUGAACGCUGGCGGCAUGCCUUACACAUGCAAGUCGAACGGCAGCACGGGAGCAAUCCUGGUGGCGAGUGGCGAACGGGUGAGUAAUACAUCGGAACGUGUCCUGUAGUGGGGGAUAGCCCGGCGAAAGCCGGAUUAAUACCGCAUACGCUCUACGGAGGAAAGGGGGGGAUCUUAGGACCUCUCGCUACAGGGGCGGCCGAUGGCGGAUUAGCUAGUUGGUGGGGUAAAGGCCUACCAAGGCGACGAUCCGUAGCUGGUCUGAGAGGACGACCAGCCACACUGGGACUGAGACACGGCCCAGACUCCUACGGGAGGCAGCAGUGGGGAAUUUUGGACAAUGGGGGCAACCCUGAUCCAGCAAUGCCGCGUGUGUGAAGAAGGCCUUCGGGUUGUAAAGCACUUUUGUCCGGAAAGAAAUUCUUAUGGGCUCAUACCCUGUAGGGAUGACGGUACCGGAAGCAAUAAGCACCGGC
rnacentral:rRNA from 1 species